UACCCUCCGUGCCCUAUGGGGCACUCACGGUCAACGGCACUGCCCAUACACUCAGUCCACCCUGGCGGGGACCUCACCAAUGACCUCCAUGAAAACAGGGUCCCAGACAAGCCAGUUGGUCUGAAGGCCGUGGCGCUGACUGACCACAUCAGGGUGUGUUGGCAGCCCCCCGCACAGCACAAUGUGCUGCUGUGCGGCUACACCAUUGCCUGGGACCAAGGCGUGGCGGACAUCUACUCCAAGAUCGUGGACAGCAAGCAGCACGGUUACAUCAUUGAUAAGCUGGAACCCAACAUGGAGUUUGUGAUAAGCCUGCGAGCCUUCAACAACGUGGGUGACGGGCAACCGGUGUACCAGCAAGUCCGCACCCAGCCAGAGGAGGAGGAGGUGGUGGCACCCACGCUGGACCCGGCGGUGUGGGUGAAGGCCGUGGUGCUGACGCCCUUCACCGUGGUGCUGCAGUGGGCGGACACCAUGCUGAGCCAGAACCAGUACAACAGCUGCACCACCUUCUCGUCCUCAUCCUCCAGCCGCUACGUCAACGCCACGGAUGUGACCUGCCUCAUUGACAGCCUCAAGCCAUCAACAGUGUGUGAGUUUGCUGUGAAGACCAUCAGGGUGAGACCACAGUGCUGGAAGCCUUCGUUCUUCUUUCAGUAAAUAUUCACUCAGUCCUGCAACACUUCUCAAGGAAAUCCUGCACAGCUGAAUCCUUGCUGUGAUGAGGCACAGAGAAAGUAUGACUCAUAGGGUUUGGUGUGAGUCCCCCUAUAGCCUGGUGGCCUCCAACACCCUGCUGGUGGCCCGGCCGUCCUGGCCUUCCCUGGCCAGCCAUCCACCACCACCUUCACCCGG